AAGUCAGAAGGGGGCUGGUUGGAUGUCAAAGCAUCUUCUAAACCACAGGUGAAACCUGUGAAACCAGGUGACCUAGUGAAACCAGGCCAAUCUCCAACCCCCAUGCCUCACCCAAUCCUGGCUUUAGAAGCAGGGUCACUUCCUCCUACCAGUCCAUCUCCCCAGGAUUGUCGCAUCAGAAGCAGCAUCUCAUUUCUCAUUGGCUUAUUUACUCCUAAAACGUGUUCCUCUUAG
rnacentral:lncRNA from 1 species